AACGAACGCUGGCGGCAGGCUUAGCACAUGCAAGUCGAGCGCCCCGCAAGGGGAGCGGCAGACGGGUGAGUAACGCGUGGGAAUCUACCCAUCUCUACGGAAUAACGCAUGGAAACGUGUGCUAAUACCGUAUACGUCCUUCGGGAGAAAGAUUUAUCGGAGAUGGAUGAGCCCGCGUUGGAUUAGCUAGUUGGUGGGGUAAAGGCCUACCAAGGCGACGAUCCAUAGCUGGUCUGAGAGGAUGAUCAGCCACACUGGAACUGAGACACGGCCCAGACUCCUACGGGAGGCAGCAGUGGGGAAUAUUGGACAAUGGGCGCAAGCCUGAUCCAGCCAUGCCGCGUGAGUGAUGAAGGCCCUAGGGUUGUAAAGCUCUUUCACCGGUGAAGAUAAUGACGGUAACCGGAGAAGAAGCCCCGGCUAACUUCGUGCCAGCAGCCGCUGUAAGAC
rnacentral:rRNA from 1 species